UAGGGAAUCUUCGCCAAUGGACGAAAGUCUGACCGAGCAACGCCGCGUGAGUGAAGAAGGUUUUCGGAUCGUAAAACUCUGUUGUUAGAGAAGAACAAGGACGAUAGUAACUGAACGUCCCCUGACGGUAUCUAACCAGAAAGCCACGGCUAACUACGUGCCAGCAGCCGCGGUAAUACGUAGGUGGCAAGCGUUGUCCGGAUUUAUUGGGCGUAAAGCGAGCGCAGGCGGUUUCUUAAGUCUGAUGUGAAAGCCCCCGGCUCAACCGGGGAGGGUCAUUGGAAACUGGGAGACUUGAGUGCAGAAGAGGAGAGUGGAAUUCCAUGUGUGGCGGUGAAAUGCGUAGAUAUAUGGAGGAACACCGGUGGCGAAGGCGGCUCUCUGGUCUGUAACUGACGCUGAGGCUCGAAAGCGUGGGAAGCAAACAGG
rnacentral:rRNA from 1 species